GUAAUACUUCCUUCGUGUGAAAAUACUUAUCAUAGAAAUGGAUAUAUCUAGAUAUAUUUCAGUUUUAGAUACAUUUAUUUUUAUAUAUUUUAUGAUAAGUAAUUCUGGACGGAGGGAGUACAUU
rfam:Hordeum vulgare subsp. vulgare, WGS project CAJW01000000 data, contig: morex_contig_7185